rnacentral:rRNA from 1 species
GACGAACGCUGGCGGCGUGCUUAACACAUGCAAGUCGAACGGUAAGGCCCUUCGGGGUACACGAGUGGCGAACGGGUGAGUAACACGUGGGUGAUCUGCCCUGCACUUCGGGAUAAGCCUGGGAAACUGGGUCUAAUACCGGAUAGGACUCCUGGCUUCAUGGUUGGGGGUGGAAAGCUUUUGCGGUGCGGGAUGGGCGCGCGGCCUAGCAGCUUGUGGGUGGGGUAAUGGCCUACCAAGGCGACGACGGGUAGCCGGCCUGGGAGGGUGACCGGUCACACUGGGACUGGGAUACGGCACAGACUCCUACGGGAGGCAGCAGUGGGGAAUAUUGGACAAUGGGCGCAAGCCUGAUGCAGCGACGCCGCGUGAGGGAUGACGGCCUUCGGGUUGUAAACCUCUUUCAGCUAUGACGAAGCGCAAGUGACGGUAGUAGCAGAAGAAGGACCGGCCAACUACGUGCCAGCAGCAGCCGCGG